rnacentral:rRNA from 1 species
UUCCGGUUGAUCCUGCCGGACCUGACUGCUAUCGGAUUGAUACUAAGCCAUGCGAGUCAUUGUAGCAAUACAAGGCAGACGGCUCAGUAACGCGUAGUCAACCUAACCUAUGGACGGGAAUAACCUCGGGAAACUGAGAAUAAUGCCCGAUAGAACACUAUACCUGGAAUGGUUUGUGUUCCAAAUGAUUUAUCGCCGUAGGAUGGGACCGCGGCCUAUCAGUUUGUUGGUGAGGUAAUGGCCCACCAAGACUAUUACAGGUACGGGCUCUGAGAGGAGUAGCCCGGAGAUGGGUACUGAGACACAGACCCAGGCCCUAUGGGGCGCAGCAGGCGAGAAAACUUUGCAAUGUGCGAAAGCACGACAAGGUUAAUCCGAGUGGUUUGUGCUAAACGAACCUUUUGUCAGUCCUAGAAACACUGAUGAAUAAGGGGUGGGCAAGUUCUGGUGUCAGCCGCCGCGGUAAAACCAGC